rnacentral:rRNA from 1 species
AAGCUCGUAGUUGAAUUUCGGGGUUAGUAGGUAGGUCAUGCCUCUGGUAUGUACUGGUCUCACUGAUUCCUCCUUCCUUAUGAACCGUAAUGCCAUUAAUUUGGUGUUGCGGGGAAUUUGGACUGUUACUUUGAAAAAAUUAGAGUGUUUAAAGCAAGCUAACGCUUGAAUACAUUAGCAUGGAAUAAUGAAGUAGGACGUUCGAUCUUAUUUUGUUGGUUUCUAGGAUUGACGUAAUGAUUAAUAGGGAUAGUUGGG